AACAUCAUAAUUAUAUCGCGAAUGUACUACUAGUAUAUGCAGUUUUCUUAAAAUUGCAGGGAAUGACUAAAAGCGCACGUUUUUCCCACUUUUAGUAGUACUCAAGCGUAGAUAGAUUGAACGUUGCUGGGCGCCUGAUGUUGAUCAUUUCUGAAAUGAGAUAUUGGGAAUCAGCUGUAUCUACAUUU
rnacentral:snoRNA from 3 species